rnacentral:rRNA from 1 species
GACGAACCGUGCGAACGUUGUUCGGAAUCACUGGGCUUAAAGGGUGCGUAGGCGGGUCUUUAAGUCAGGGGUGAAAUCCUGGAGCUCAACUCCAGAACUGCCUUUGAUACUGAGGAGCUUGAGUCCGGGAGAGGUGAGUGGAACUGCGAGUGUAGAGGUGAAAUUCGUAGAUAUUCGCAAGAACACCAGUGGCGAAGGCGGCUCACUGGCCCGGUACUGACGCUGAGGUGCGAAAGCGUGGGGAGCAAACAGG